rnacentral:lncRNA from 1 species
AUUUGUUUUCUUAUUUUAGAUGAACUUUCUUACUUCGGUUGGAGAAGAUGAGAAACAACUUACAGUGGCAAUCUUAAUACAGCUAAUGGCCAAAGAAGUAUGUUUUUCAUACUCAGUGUAUGGAAUGAAACAAAAACGUCCUGCAAGGUCGUUAUAGAGUUGCGUUUAGUCGUUUAUCGUUGUAUUCGUUCAUUUCGAAAUCGCUACUGACAAAAG